rnacentral:rRNA from 1 species
AGCGAACGCUGGCGGCGUGCCUAACACAUGCAAGUCGAACGUGAAUUGUAGCAAUACAUAGUAAAGUGGCGUACGGGUGAGUAACACGUAGGUAAUCUACUUUAGAGCCUGGAAUAACCUGCCGAAAGGCGGGCUAAUACUGGAUAGUUCGAAGAAGCCGUAAUUGGUUUUUUCGGGAAAGGGAGCUCGUAAGAGCCUUCACUCUAAAAUGAGCCUGCGUCCCAUUAGUUAGUUGGCGAGGUAACGGCUCACCAAGACUUUGAUGGGUAGCUGGUCU